UGACUNGAGUGCAGAAGGGGAGAGUGGAAUUCCAUGUGUAGCGGUGAAAUGCGUAGAUAUAUGGAGGANCACCAGUGGCGAAAGCGGCUCUCUGGUCUGUCACUGACGCUGAGGCUCGAAAGCGUGGGUAGCGAACAGGAUUAGAUACCCUGGUAGUNCACGCCGUAAACGAUGAGUGCUAGGUGUUAGGCCCUUUCCGGGGCUUAGUGCCGGAGCUGACGCAAUAAGCACUCCGCCUGGGGAGUACGACCGCAAGGUUGAAACUCAAAGGAAUUGACGGGGGCCCGCACAAGCGGUGGAGCAUGUGGUUUAAUUCGAAGCAACGCGAAGAACCUUACCAGGUCUUGACAUCCCGAUGCUAUUCUUAGAGAUAGGAAGUUACUUCGGUACGUCGGAGACAGGUGGUGCAUGGUUGUCGUCAGCUCGUGUCGUGAGAUGUUGGGUUAAGUCCCGCAACGAGCGCAACACUUAUUGUUAGUUGCCAUCAUUAAGUUGGGCACUCUAGCGAGACUGCCGGUAAUAAACCGGAGGAAGGUGGGGAUGACGUCAAAUCAUCAUGCCCCUUAUGACCUGGGCUACACACGUGCUACAAUGGUCGGUACAACGAGUUGCGAGCCGGUGACGGCAAGCUAAUCUCUGAAAGCCGAUCUCAGUUCGGAUUGGAGGCUGCAAC
rnacentral:rRNA from 1 species